rnacentral:rRNA from 1 species
AGACCGAUAGCGAACAAGUACCGUGAGGGAAAGAUGAAAAGAACUUUGAAAAGAGAGUUAAACAGUAUGUGAAAUUGUUAAAAGGGAACCGUUUGGAGCCAGACUGGUUUGACUGUAAUCAACCUAGAAUUCGUUCUGGGUGCACUUGCAGUCUAUACCUGCCAACAACAGUUUGAUUUGGAGGAAAAAAUUAGUAGGAAUGUAGCCUCUCGAGGUGUUAUAGCCUACUAUCAUACUCUGGAUUGGACUGAGGAACGCAGCGAAUGCCWUUAGGCRAGAUUGCUGGGUGCUUUCGCUAAUAAAUGUUAGAAUUUCUGCUUCGGGUGGUGCUAAUGUUUAAAGGAGGAACACAUCUAGUAUAUUUUUUAUUCGCUUAGGUUGUUGGCUUAAUGACUCUAAAUGACCCGUCUUGAAACACGGACCAAG